rnacentral:rRNA from 1 species
GAUGAACGCUAGCGGCAGGCCUAACACAUGCAAGUCGAGGGGUAGAAGGAGCUUGCUCCUUUGAGACCGGCGCACGGGUGCGUAACGCGUAUGCAAUCUACCUUGUACAGGGGAAUAGCCCAGAGAAAUUUGGAUUAAUGCCCCAUAGUAUAUAACCUUCGCAUGUUGGUUAUAUUAAAGUUCCAACGGUACAAGAUGAGCAUGCGUCCCAUUAGUUAGUUGGUAAGGUAACGGCUUACCAAGACGAUGAUGGGUAGGGGUCCUGAGAGGGAGAUCCCCCACACUGGUACUGAGACACGGACCAGACUCCUACGGGAGGCAGCAGUGAGGAAUAUUGGUCAAUGGUCGCAAGACUGAACCAGCCAUGCCGCGUGCAGGAAGACGGUCCUAUGGAUUGUAAACUGCUUUUAUACAGGAAGAAACCCUCCCACGUGUGGGAGCUUGACGGUACUGUAGGAAUAAGAAUCGGCUAACUCCGUG